rnacentral:snoRNA from 1 species
UCCUUAACGAGAAACGAUGCUCAUUCACUUUACCGCCCAAUUGCAAUGGACGACUGAAGGGGAAAGAGUAGCGAGAAAAAUAUUGUCGAAACACGUCUCAUACUGAGCUGUCUGUCAUAUAGACAGUUUGGAUUCUGCGUUUUCGGUACAACC